CUUGGCUAGAUCAGUAUGUGCAAAUUUGGAGGAAUCGGUGUUAAUUAGCGUUCGAUUCUCAAUCUGAUCACCUAAUUUUUAACACUAUUUUCGUGCUAAAUAUAUUACUCGGUUACAUCAAUGUUUUGGUCAUUGUGAAUCGACCACAAGAAAACUGAUUGAAUUCACCUCAUGUACUCAGCUUAUGUAUAAAUCUCUGCACGAGUACUGUCAGAGGCACGACUGCGGUCACGAGCGAUCGAAAUGGUGAUGCCUACUGUCACGAAUAAAGCGCAAAAUAAUUUACUGGUUAUUAGUCGACGUUCGUAUUGGUUUUGAUAUUGGAAAAUCCAGUUCAUACUUUG